rnacentral:ncRNA from 1 species
GGGGCUAAACUUAGUAACCCCAGCACAAAAGUGUUAAUAGUAAAGGCUUCUGGCCAAGUCUUACGGUUAGUGAAUC